rnacentral:rRNA from 2 species
AGAAGAAAAGUGUAAAUUCCAUGUGGAACCGGUGAAAUGCGUAUAGAUAUGGGAGGGACAACAGUGGCGGAGGCGACUUUUUGGUCUGUACUUACCAUUAGGGGGGGAAAGCCGUGGGGAGCAAACAGGAUUUAGAUACCCUGGUAAUUCACGCCGUAACGAUGAGUGCUUAGUGGUAGAGGGUUUCCGCCCUUUAGUGCUGAAGUUAACGCAUUAAGCCCUCCGCCUGGGGAGUACGGCCGCAAGGCUGAAACUCAAAGGAAAUGACGGGGGCCCGCACAAGCGGUGGAGCAUGUGGUUUAAUUUGAAGCAACGCGAAGAACCUUACCAGGUUUUGACAUCCUUUGACAACCCUAAAGAUAGGGCUUUUCCUUCGGGAGCAGAGUGACAGGUGGUGCAUGGUUGUUGUCAGCUUGUGUUGUUAGAUGUUGGGUUAAGUCCCGCAACGAGCGCAACCCUUGAUUUUAGUUGCCAUCAUUUAGUUGGGCACUUUAAGGUGACUGCCGGUGACAAACCGGAGGAAGGUGGGGAUGACGUCAAAUCAUCAUGCCCCUUAUGACCUGGGCUACACACGUGCUACAAUGGACGGUACAAAAAGCUGCAAGACCGCGAGGUGGAGCUAAUUUCAUAAAACCGUUUUCAGUUCGGAUUGUAGGCUGCAACUUGCCUACAUGAAGCUGGAAUCGGUAGUAAUUGCGGAUCAGCAUGCCGCGGUGAAUACGUUCCCGGGCCUUGGACACCCCGCCCGUCACCCCACGAAAGUUUGUAACACCCGAAGUCGGUGGGGUAACCUUUGGAGCCAGCCGCUAAGGGGACA